ACCAAAUAAUCUUGUUCAUAUUCAAAAGAAGAAAACAUCACUUGAAAUACAACUAUUUCACAGGUGCUUUCUAGUGACUUGAGAGCAGCCAAAUUUUAUGCCUAUUAAACCUUAAUUACCAGUGAUACAAGUUGAUACUCAAAGGGACAACUUACCAGCAUUGGUGCAGUUUCUGAAAGCUCAGUUAAAAAUGUACCUUGGCCAGCCAUUAUAUUAUCUUUGGCCCCCAUUC